AUCUGCAGGGUCAUUAUGUAACUCGGUGAACGCUUUAAAAUCACAGUCACGACAACAAAUGACAGCGAUUUUUCGUUUUUGCGAUCAUGUAACACACAUCUCCCACCGAAAUGACGUCAUCUUGGAUCGUUCUCUGUCACGGUCACUUGUAGGGAUUUAUCCAAGUUAUAACGCAGUUUUUACGUAUCGAUAGUCAGUUUAAGCGAUUAUGUAAGCCUAGUGAUCAUACAACUGGGUGACACAGAAGUUGUCAAAGUCAAUCGCUAUAGAAACUAAUACCGAGCAGUGUUUUAAUAAAGUUUACUUGACGCCUGUGAUUCAAUAAUUACAAAUAAAAGUACUUUUAGGAUUUUUUUGAAUUUUGUACUAUACCUUUGUUUACCGACAUUGCCAUGUACAAUACAAUGCAUGUAGCAUUUGUAUUGUACGCGGAAACGGAACGAAAAAGAUGUCUUUGUCGAGUUCAUUGCAAAGCUUUCGUGUCGCGAUACCAGCAGGUUUUAGAAGAAAUACAAAGUCUUCGAACAACUGCUGUUCGCAAUGAAUUAGAGAUAAGUAAGUUAUAUGAAUGAAUGAAGGAAUUUUCUUCAUUCUCUGCGUUGAGCAAGUGACGUGGACUAUGGGCCUAACCCCUCUCAUUCUGAGAGGAGACUCGAGCUCAGCAGUGAGCCGAAUAUGGUAUUUUUAUAUGGUGAGCUUCCAUCAUAGGAUAAGUUGGUUUAAGAUUUGGAGUAGGCUUAUUCAGUACUAGCAGACACACCAUAGUUUGACCGGUGUAGUUCCAGUUCCUGUGGGAAUAUGGGGUAGCACAGAGUAAUACGGGCUAUAUUUUAUAUAGCCUAUAUUACUCUGUGCUGUAGCUUACCAAUGGUGAAAGAUUUUUUAUAAUCAGUCCAGUAGUAUUUGUGUUAGAUUGUAAGAAUCAAAUAAUAUUAUCUAAAGAUCGGUCACUGUCAUCCUAAGAACCUAAAUUAAACCAUUGAAUAUUAUUUACAGGUCUUGGCAGCUUUAAACUUUUAUGCCAAUGGAUCAUACAAAUGGCUUUGUGAUGGCUAAGGCAUCUUUUAGCAAAUGCCUACAUGAAGUCGCUGACGCUCCUGAAUACCCCAGCUGUUUAAAAAAAAUGUGUUAAGUUCCCUUUGCAUUAAACACAAAAUCAUUAUAAAUAAAUAUGUGAUGCCAAUCUAAUAAUAACAUAGUGGAUGCUCAAUUUGGUGGUGCAUCUUAUGACUUGUACAUAUGGAACCAGUGCAAUAAGACCACUUGAGGAAAACCUGCCCAAUAGGGACCGCUGUUGGUUGUUAGGUGACCAAUGUUUGCAUGAUGACCCCCAUCUUGGGAGCUGCUCCUAGAUCCCAUGAAGAUAUGCACAACAUUGCUGUGUCAGAAAUACGGUGGAGCCUUGUAGUUGGGUGCAUAUUGUAAAAUGUUUCCUCACUCCAAAACCAUGAACUCUGGUUUCCUAAACCCUCAAGCUAUGCAGCCGAAGGAGGAGACUUAUCACAGGAGAAUCACUAAUAAUUUUGAAGAAGUGAAGAGCUUAACAAUGUUUCAACCAACACCUAAAGAAGCUUUCACUUGGCUGUUAGAUCAAGGGCUGGAUACAGAAAACAGUAAUCCUUGUGAUGGCAGUAUUGUCCAAGGAUUCCUCACUCAAAACCAUGAUAACAAGUUGCUAGAACCCUCAAGCUAUGCAGACAAAGGACUGGAUAUAUUUUUUCGUGACCAAGCCUUCUGUAUAAUUAUUUAUACUUAAACCAUACAAAGCACUAUCUAGCCCCAAAGUAGGCAUACAGAGUAGCUUGUGUUGUGGGUACUAAGAUAGUUGAUAUUAUAAUAUUCAUUUACAUUUAUAUACUACCUAUAAAUACUUAUAUAAUGUAUAAAUACACACACACUGGAAAAAACCCAUGCUCUUCACACAAAUAUUUUCCAGGUGUGGGAAUCGAACCCAUGACCGUGGAUGCAGGAGCACUACUUACUGCGCCACGCGUAUGUGUUUUUAUUUUGAAGCAAAUUAUUAAAGUUGAUAAUUCAAAUUGUAGUCAUGUUUUUAAUUAAUCUAUAAUUAAUUUUUAAUUUACAUUUUUCUUAAAUAUUUACCUAUACUUCAGUCUAUUUUUGUUAGAGGGGGUACCUAUAUGUGUAAGUAGGGUCGUUUCUUGAUUAAAUUAAACUAAAGAAUGAAAGAUAUAUAUUAUAACAAAAUUUGUCAACAACAAUAUAUCAAGUCUGAAUAAAAAAUACCAACACAAGUAAA